CCUAUGGACUCAUGGGAUGUUCUGAAGAUUAAUGUGUCUCUUUCAGGGCACUAAGGUACAUUUAGAGCACUAAAGAAGUCAUUUACUAAAUGGUGCCCUUGGGACUUGAAAGAGUUAAUGUACCUCUCACAAGUCCUUUCUUAUCUACUUCCCAUUCCAUAAAGUGGAUGUUUCUCUCCAGAAGUCAAGUGAAUAAGAAAUAUAUUUGAUUCUAAACAUAUACAAGAGGAUAAUCUGGAUCAUUUAUGGUAAGAAAAAUAUUUUAAAUGGACUAUCCAGGUAAGUGAAUUAAAUUAUACACUAUGUAUAAAAUGGGCACUAAAUCUGCUCAAAACAUCUAUCAACUCCAGAGACAUCCUGAAAAGAAUCACUAGGUUAAGAGUCACCCCACAUGUCUAGCCUAGUCUCUGUUCCUUCUUAGAUCCCUUUCUGCAGUAUCAAAGGUUGACAUCAGUUAUUGAGAGCAAUGUUUUCCUUUGUCUUAGUGAUACUAUAACCUACUCCACAGACCCUCUACUUUUUUCUCUCUGGGUGAAGUAGAAAUAAGCUUGACCAUCAAAGUUUGCAGACAAGUCUGUCUUUCUCAUGCCAAGAGUAGCCACAGAUGUAUCCUGUUCUAUGGUGAAGCUAGAACAGAAAUCCCUUGGGAAGGUGCUAGGUAGGUUUCAAGAACCUGUUAGACAUAUUGGUUGUUGGGCCACUGUGAUACAUGUAGCAACAACAAUAUUUAUAUUUCACAUUUUCCUCAUAAAAAUUCCCUUUGUAGAAAAAAAGGGGAACAUUUUAUAAUUUCUAUUUUAAUUCUUUCCAAUAUAUAUUAUUAAUGGAAAUGAAAAUUUUAAUGACUGAUUUUAUUUAACCUCAUGCAUAUAAGCAUCUUGACAAUUUUCCUCUAUGAAGAAAAUGUAUCCGUCAACAAGUACUGUGCAUGCAUCUUCUUUCUUCACAAUUAAAGUUUAACUAAAAGUAAAAGCUACUAAUGCAUGGCUAAUUUUACAAUGCAAGCAGAUGUUGUUAGAAGAACAUCUUCCAUUGUUAGCCUCUGGCUCCAGUGACUGCCAUACAAAGAAUGUAGAGGAAGAAACAAUUUGGAGAGCGAGAUGCCGUUUGCUAGGGGCACAGAACACGACAGCCAGUUGGAAGUCAUUAAAUUCAGAUGCAGCUGCAUUUCUGACAAGAGUUCUUGGCCACCCCUGCUCUGUCUCCAUCCAGAAUAGUUCUUGUGGGGCACACUGCUCAGAUAUGAUAUAAAGGUAUUGGAAAGAAAACCUCUCUUAUGGAAACACCAACAAAUUCCAAACUAUCUGGGUAGCACAAGCAAUUUACUCUCCUUCAACUUAAAGAAUUGUUGCUUUAUGGCCACUUUCCUUGAGUUUAUUGAUUUCAUAUGCAGUUUUUUUACAAUGACAUAAUGCAUCUGGGCUUCAUGCACAGAGACAGAAAGGAUAACUAACAUUGGUGUCAUCUGUCAACCCAAAGUAAUCAAUGGCACCUGGUCUCUACUUAGAAGUGCAAAGCAUCAAGGAGCAAAGUCUCUUCAAUCAAAGUGCCUCAAGGACAAGAAAGGUAAGGAUGUUGCAGAAUAGAAAAAAACAAAAAUAAAAAAAUCCUAAUGUUAAAUGUUUGUUAGAAGGUAUCAUGUUUAAGUUUUAUGGCAUCUUUUGUCAAAUGCCACUUCAG